CUCCACUCUAUCUCUCUCAAUCUAGUAGAACUAAUUCUACUCUCACAUUGGAUGCUAAGCCCUAUGAGGUUGGAACCCUAGAGGGACCUCUCUCUCUAAAUCCGCUCUGGAAAAUAUGCUAAUGAAUAAUGGGAUUGCCCUCCUCCAGGGGCCAAGGGGCCUGCUUAUAUAGUCCCCUCAAGUGAACAUGGGCCGUCGGAUCAAACCGACAUUAAUCGCACAAUUUUCCUUAAUCCUUUAGGUCGGUGGAGCAUAUCUGUGAGACGGGACCUGAUUGGUCUCUGUAGCUAGGCAGGCGCCCAAGGGGGGAGGGCGGGCGCCCUGCCUCUAGGCCCGCCCGGCCUCCCGUUUGUUCCUGUGGCUUCCGGAGUCUUCUAGAUGAUAGAAAAUUGCGCGGCACGUUAAUAUCUCUAUGUAAACCCGACAUGUGGGCCUUUCCUCCAUAUUUCCUGAUAACCCCCUGUAGAAAUAGACAAACACCAAAACUCGUGGAAUUCUGUCAGAUAAAACCCUAAGUAUGGGUGUUGGUUGCAUUUGGAUCCUUUUCUUUAUUUAUUUGAUGAUUAUAUUUGGUACUUAAGGACCGUCAACAACUCCCCCAAGCUUACCUCUUGCUCGUCCCUGAGCAAGGAUGGACUCAAGAGUUUGUGAAGUGGUUUCAUGCCUUAAAAGUACACAUGCGUUCAAUCAAGAUCUCAUCUCUGAGUUAGAGUAAACUGUUAAGCUUUAAAAUUUACUCAUUUUACCUUUCACCAUGGGGCUUGCAACCAUCACUUGUGUCUUGAGCAGUUAAAAGAUAGAACAAUCAAGUCGAGCGCCAUGUCUCUUGUUCUUUGAUUAACUAUAGCUCUAGAGUUUUUGCAGAUUUUCAAAUAAAACUCAGAGAUUCCUUGUAUGACUCUCAAAAAUCUCUCUUUUGUGGUAUUUCUAGAACCUUUCCAAGGCAGUAAUGGUAUAUGCCUUCUCUCAAAGUAUGCGGUAUUUUUGGUAUGAGGCAAAGUGAUAUUGCCUUCUCUCUCACCCUAUUCUAAUAAGGUUUUGAUAUCUGGAGCUCAUAGGUGGGAGACAGAUAAUACAUACUUACAAGACAUUUAUUGCAUAGUCAAACCAUGGAUCCAGAAGAACAAGUCAAUAAGUCAAAUCAAGAUGUGCAUGUGUGGCGAGUGAAUGGUGUAUGGUGAUAACAAUGGUGAAAGUCUAAUUCUACUUUUGCUCUUUUUAGGGGAUACAUACCUUUCUUGCACUUUGAAGAUUUUUUGAGGAUAAUGAGAUGCUCUAUAUUUUUUUCUUUUCUCUCAGGUGGGUAUCUUGUACCCCUAAUUCUACUGUCGGACACUUGUCCAUUUUUAUCUCUCAUCUCACUUUUUCUUUUCUUUCGAGGUUCCGGGCACUUGCCCCUUUUUAUUUCCUAGUAUCCUUUCUCUCUCUUUUUUUCUUUUUUUAGAGCACUCAUCUCCUGAAAUAAUAGCAAGUGGUAGUAACCAAGAUAACUCGAGCAUUUAUUUCAUAGGGAAAAACAGAAAUAGGAGAAUGUUUUUGGCUAUUCUCUCCCGUAUUAGGAGUAGAAUACUUUUGGGUGGCUCUGGAGAUGGAAAUGAGUGGAUAUAUGUGGAUGCGUACUUCUGGUGUAGAAGCAGCAUGUGUGAGUGAACGUGCAAGUGAAUCUUGAUUUUAACCACAUGACAAGCUCCUAAGGGUCUACACACCUUGACCACACUCAAUGCUCAUAAGCAGUAAAAAGUAAAUGUGUGGCUCAAAGUCUAGCAAGCAUGUAUAUUUGGCUGUGGUAGGAAUUUAAACUCUCAUCAUACAUAAACUCAUCAUGCAAUAUUUUAAGGAUUUUUAAAGAUAAUAUUCCCCAGAAUUCUAGCAUCUCUAGGAACAGAUAAACAGCAGCUCAACCUUCCUAUAUCAUAUCCGUCAAUGACUUAGACUUUAGAUCAAAACUCUUCCCACAAGUUUAGGUUUAGAGCAGGUUUAAAUUAUAACAGUUAUGGCUAAACUUGAGAGAGAGCUCAAACUUGAAAGCUAGGUACAUGACAGUGCAACUAUUAUCAUAUCCAUGUAAGAUUUUAUCAUUUAAGUUCAGUUUGACCUAGACACUUUAUUUAUUUAUUUAGCAAACUAAGAAAAGAUAUAUAUAAGCACAAAAUUUUUAUUUGGGUUUUCAUGAUCAUGCAUCUUUUUAUUAUUUGAGUAAAGUAUAAACGCGAGUAUAAACACUUAGCUAGAUAAAUGGGGGUGCUUUUCCCCAAGCUGGAUUUUGACGUAAUUUGUUCUGAUGUAGCUAGCAGGUGACAGGAGGUGUAUUUGAAUGUCGGCAGCACCGUGACAGCGAUUACUAUGUCCUCCGCCAGCUAGUCUUAUUUGAUCCUUGAAUUCGGUGGAGCUCAAAUAGACAACAAAGCCUUGUGGAACUGGUUAAGUGUUAGCAUAAAAUCUCUUAGCCUUUAUCAUAUUGAGAUUCCUCCUAAUAAAUUUUUAUUUAUUUAGCAGGAUCCUGCACUUAUAAUUUUUAUAUUUUCAUUGUAAUAUGAAAACAUAUUUAUUUUAUGCCAUCAUAGUCAAUAUACCUAUGGGUUUUAAACCACAAGUCUACUCACAUGGGGCUUUAGGUUUAUGAUGCAGUGCAACGAACAAAUACUUUUGUUUUCUUUUCUAAUGCUAAUGUGGAAAAAUAAAUAUGCUAAUGCAAGUGAUGGAUGAAAAGGAAUGCAGAAAAGAUAAAUAUGGAUAAAUACAGAUUUUACCUUCCGGCAAGGAUCCAAUGUUUUAAGUCUUCUGGACAAGACUUCUUACCGUGUUCAUCCUUUAAGUGCAUCAUUUGAUUAGUUGUGGGCCUUGACAUCUGCACCUCUUGAUACGGUGUCACCCAUGUUCUUUGUUUGUCUAGCAGUUCGAGGUGCGGCAUUGGCAGUAUCUUGCUCAGUGUAUUUGUGCUCAUAGAUCCUGUUGGGUAUUUUAAACGCAAACAGAAAAAUCCGCAAGCGCACGGAUACCGAUGUAGCCUUCACCAGGGAGUAUUCUAGAGUAUCGAUUUUCCACAGAGAACGUGAGUGUACUAAUUAAGAUCCAAAAUCGCCCAAGGAUAACUAUAUAAUUAUUUUUGGUGGGAAGAGAGGAAGUUUCCUGAGAGUUCUCUAGUUGAUCUAAGAAUCAAGAGUUACUUCAAGAUUAUCUAUAUCGGGACAUCAGAGCACUAACCACGGAAAGAGAUGAGAAGGGGGCUACGAAAGUCUGACUACGGUCCUACAAACACCGAUCCGAACGAGGUGGAAUACGUCGACCGUUAGGGCUUUCACUACCCUAAGGCUACCACAACAAUCCGCAGGAUUGGGUGCAAUUCGAGGUAAUUGCAAGACUAAACACCACGUCUAAUCUAUUAAUUACUACUCUAGCGUUAUAAAGACUAGAGCACUUGAUGCAAGCGGGAAUCCAAUAAAUAACUUGAAUGUAAAUAAAAGUAAUUAAAAACUCAGGAAUUAUGAAUGGAAGAACCUGGAGAACGAUGAAGAACGAACCAGAUGCUGCAAAAGUAUAAUGUUGAGGAAGAUCCGACAGAUCCGGCUCCUCCUCCGCUCUCCUAUUCUCUCUCCCUAUUUUCUAGAUUACAACUAGAACUAACUAGAACUAGAACUAGAUGAACUAGAACUAGAACUAGAUGAACUAGAACUAGAUCUAGAUGAACUAGAGGUAGAACUAGAAGAACUAGAGGGAUCCUCUCUACUUGGAUGAAGAAUUGAAACCCUAACUUUGAUUCUGUAGAAGAGGUAUGAUCUCCAGGGGCCAGGGGGUCUGGUUUUAUAGUCCCUUUAAGUGAAUCUGGGCCGUCGGAUCAAACCGACAUUGAUCGUGUGGUUUUCCUUGAAGUAUUAGGUCGGUGGAGCAUGAUCCCCGAACUUCACCCUGAUUGGUCCAGGGGGAGGGCGGGCGCCCAGUAAGGGAGGGCGGGCGCCCAGUGCCCGGCUCCGUUACGUCUCCCGUUCGUUCCCGUGGCUUCUGGAGUCUUCUAGAUGGUAGAAAAUUGCACGGCACGUUAAUAUCUCUAUGUAAACCCGACGUGUGGGCCUUUCUUCCUUAUUUCCUGAUAACCCCCUGCAGAAAUAGACAAACACCAAAACUCGUGGAAUUCUGUCAGAUAAAACCCUAAGUCUAGGUGUUGAUUGUAUUUGGAUCCUUUUCUAUGAUUAGUUGAUGGUUAAAUGUGAGCAUUAGGGACCGUCAACAAGCUCCCCCAAGCUUAACCUUUGCUCGUCCCUGAGCAAAGAUGGACUCAAGAGUUUCUGCAGUGGUUUCAUAACUUAAAGAUACACAUGCAUUUAAACAAGAUCUCAUCUCUGGUUAGAGUAAACUAUUAAUACUUAAAACUUACUCAUUUACCUUUCACCAUGGAACUUGUAACCGUCACUUCUGUCUUGAGUAGUUAAAAGAUAGAACAGUCUAGUCAAGCACCAUGUCUCUUAUUCUUGAUCAGCUAUAGCUCUGGAGUUUUUGCAGAUUUUCAAAUAAAACUCAGAGAUUCCUUGUAUGACUCUCUCUAGUCUCUCUUUUAUGGUAUUUCUAGAUCCUUACCAAGGCAGUAAUGGUGUAUGCCUUCUCUCAAAGUAUGUGGUAUUUUUGGUAUGAGGCAUAGUGGCAUUGCCUUCUCUCUCACCUUACUCUAAUAAGGCUUUUGAUAUCUGGAGCUCAUAGGUGGGAGACAGCUAAUACAUACUUACAAGACAUUUAUUGCAUAGUCAAACCAUGGAUCCAGAAGAACAAGUCAAUAAGUCAAAUCAAGAUGUGCAUGUGUGGCGAAUGAAUGGUGUAUGGUAAUGAUGGUGAUAACAAUGGUGAAAGUCUAAUUCUACUUAUGCUCUUUUGAGGGGGUACAUACCUUCUUGCUCUUUUGAAACUUUUUGAGGAGAAUGAGAUGCUCUAUAUUUUCUUUUUUUCUUUUCUCUCAGGUUGGUAUCUUGUACCCCUAAUUCUACUGUCGGACACUUGUCCAUUUUUACCUCUCAUCUCACUCUUUUUUUUUUCUUUCGAGGUUCCGGGCACUUGCCCCUUUUUAUUUCCUCGUAUUUAUUUUUUUUUCUCUCUUCUUUUUUUUAUAUUAGAGCACUCAUCUCAUGAGAUAAUAUAGCAAGUGGUAGUAACAAGAUAACUUGAGCAUUUAUUUCACAGGGGAAAACAGAAAUGUUUUUGGCUAUUCUCUCCAGGAUUAGGAGUAGAAUAUUUUUGGGUGGUUCUGAAGAUGGAAAUGGUUGGAUAUAUGUGGAUGGUACUUUCGGAGUAGAAGUAGCAUAUAUGAGUGAACGUUCAAGUGAAUCUUGAUUUAACCACAUGACAAGCUGCUAAGGGUCUACACAGCUUGACCACACUCAAUGCUCAUAAGUAGUAAAAAGUAAAUGUGUGGCUCAAAGUCUAGCAAGCAUGUAUAUAUGGCUGUGGUAGGAAUUUAAACUCUCAUCAUACAGGAACUCAUCAUGUAAUAUUUUAAAGAUUUUUCAAAGAUAAAAUUCUCCAGAAUUCUAGCAUCUCUAGGAACAGAUAAACAGUAGCUCAACCUUCCCAUAUCGUAUCCGUUAACUACUUAGACUUUAGAUCAAGUACUCUCUCCACAAGUUUAGGUUUAGAGCAAAUCUUAAUUAAUAACAGUCAUGCCUAAACUUGAGAGAGAUUUCAAUUUUGAGAACUAGUCAUGGCAGAGCAACUAUUCAUCAUUUCCAUGUGAGAGCUUAUCAUGAGCAACUAUUCAUCAUUUAUUUAUUUAGCAAACUAAGCAAAGAUAUAUAUAAGCACAAAAUCUUUAUUUGGGUUUUUAUGAUUAUGCAUCUUUUUAUUAUUUGAGUAAAAUAUAAACAUGAGUAGAGCACUUAGCUGGAUAAAUGGGGGUGCUCUCCCCCAAGCUGGAUUUUGACGUAAUUCCUUUUGAUGUAGCAGGUGGCGGAGGUGUAUUUGAAUGUCGGCAGCACCCUGACAUUGAUUAGGAUGUCCUCCGUCUACUAGUCUUCUUUGAUCCUUUAAUUCUGUAGAGCUCAAAUAGACAACAAAGCUUUGUGGAACUAGUUAAGUGUUAGCAUAAAUAUCUAGCCUUUAUCAUGUUGAGCCUCCUCAAUAAAUGUUACUCUCUUUAGUAGGAUCAUAAAUUUAUUUUUAUAUUUUCAUUUUUAUAGGACAGGAAUAUAUAUAUUUAUUUUUACGCCACCACAGUGAAUGUACUUAUGGGUUUUAUGCCAUGAGCAUACUCACAUGGGGCUUACUAUUUUUAACAUUUUUCUUUUCUUUUCAAGAUAGCAUGAACCUGAUUAACUAAGCAAACUAUUUUAAAUAAUUGAAAGGAAAAAGAUAACUACCAAGUUUACCUAAUGCAAGGCGUUCAGUGUUUUUAAGUCCUCCGAACGGGACUCUCCGUUUUCUCAGUCGUCCUGGGAUUUGCUGGAUGGCAUAGUCGGUGGUUCCGGCGGCGCCUCCUCUUCGUGUAUAACUAUCUUCUCUCUCCAUACCUGACUCGGUGCUACGGUCUCCUCAGGACAAUUCUGAUCAAGUUCUAUGUCUUUAGACUUUACAACUUCUCCUUCAUAGUCUACCCAUCCGUCCUUGAUGAUUUUGCCUUCUCUGGUUGCGGUUGCGUCGUCUUCUUCUUGUCCUGACCUGCUUAGAGUCUUCGACUAUAUAGUUAGGGUCAGUAAAAUAGCGGCGUACCUUCUCAGAGGGGAUAUGCAUGUGGACUUCUCCAGUUCCAAUGUAGAUGAUUGCUUUAACGGUGCUGAGGAACGGUCUUCCAAUGGUGAUGGGUGGAUUGUAUUCGUCUUCUCCCAUGUCAAUAACCUUAAAAUCAUCUAGAGCUGAAUGUAUGUUGAUUGUAGGGGCAUGGUUCCGAAUAGGAGCUGAUAGGUGACUGGGUUGUCCUUUUUGGUCAGGAAUGGUGACUUAAGUUGAUGAUCUUGACCUCCAUGAACUGCAGUGACCAUCUUAGCUGACUCGGUCCACAUUUGCUUGUUCCUGUUCCUCCUGUUGGUCCGUUUCCUUGGUUUAUGUCGGGAAUGCUCUGAGAUUUGUGUAGUCUUUUGAUGUAGAAACUGAUCUUGGCAGGACUAGCGUAGAUGAUAGCUCCCGAGGUGUUCAGGAAUGGCCUCCCUUGGAUGAUGGGUACCCUCUCAUCACUACCAGUCUCUAUCACCACGAAGUCUGCUAGGGCGUAUAAGGUACCAACUCGGACGUAGAGGUUCUUCAAUAUUCCCCUUGGGAAACUUAGUGUCGGAUCCUGAGCAUAAUGUUGACGCUGGAGCCAAAGUCGCAGAGUGCUUCUAGGAAGUCCACCAUGCCUGAUGGAGAUCGGGAUGACGGGGCGUCCUGGAUUGUCUCACUUGACCGGCAGAAGGUCAGUAAUUACUUCCACAACGGGGUUGCUCCAGUAGUUACGUCCUCAAGCAUCUCAGGG
rnacentral:lncRNA from 1 species